UGAUUGAAAGUAUGAAAGAUUUUUGCAAGAGAAGUAUGAAUGUGUAUGUAGUUUCUUUUAGUUAUGAAGAAGUAUUAGUUAAGCUGCGGAUUUUGACUUUUAGGAGGUCAAAAUCCUUGGGCAGAAAGGGGGGUAAUGUAACGUUAUUUAUUUCUUCCAAAUAAAUAACUUACAUCAUAGUAAUUAACUUAAUAAUUUAAUUGUAAAUUCCCUUUUUUAAAGUAUCGACUUUAUCGAUAACUUAAUCUUCGCGUCGAUAAUUCUUCAAAUUAUCGACGCGUUCCCAUCCCUAGCCAGCGAAGCGGUCUUUUGUUCGUGUCCCCACUAUCGCGGCAGCCCCACUCGGUGACCACUGGCUCUCGAUCAUUCGUCCACGGGCUACGGCACCGACUGCGCGUGACCCUACCUCACGGCAGUCCUCUAGGUGCCUAGCCCGCUCUAAAGUGUCGAAUGACCUAGACUUUACCAGUGGUACCUUGUGCGUGUCUUCCCCAAUAUCGGGGUCCAAGGUCCACGCUACUACUCCAAGGUCCACGCUACUACUCCAAGGUCCACGCCACUACUCCAAGGUCCACGCUUACCUCCACGGUACGGUUUACCUACUGCACGGAACUACCUACUUCUACGGCUCGCCCUCUACGUGCUGGUUCGGCAACCCCCUGCCUUCGUGUUGCUGACCACGCCGCGCAGCCGAGCUACACGCCACGCGCACGCUACGGCCACGUGACCUGCCUACCUACCUGGGCACUGGAGAAGAGGACUUCCACGCCGGUCGCGUUAUCGGGAUUCCACGCCGAUACUCUUCGACUCAGGGGAGUCCCUAUCCGUGCCAACUGAAAACUGACUGAUCGUGUAGUGUAGGCCUAACCCACGUUGACCUAUAAAUAAAUUUGUGUCAAGCUGAACCCUGGCUUUCUCAUUUCUACCUCUCCGAUAGCUAGCCAUUUUCAUAAGCGCGACAGUUUG